GGACGGGUGAGUAAUGCCUAGGAAUCUGCCUGGUAGUGGGGGAUAACGUCCGGAAACGGGCGCUAAUACCGCAUACGUCCUGAGGGAGAAAGUGGGGGAUCUUCGGACCUCACGCUAUCAGAUGAGCCUAGGUCGGAUUAGCUAGUUGGUGGGGUAAAGGCCUACCAAGGCGACGAUCCGUAACUGGUCUGAGAGGAUGAUCAGUCACACUGGAACUGAGACACGGUCCAGACUCCUACGGGAGGCAGCAGUGGGGAAUAUUGGACAAUGGGCGAAAGCCUGAUCCAGCCAUGCCGCGUGUGUGAAGAAGGUCUUCGGAUUGUAAAGCACUUUAAGUUGGGAGGAAGGGCAGUAAGUUAAUACCUUGCUGUUUUGACGUUACCAACAGAAUAAGCACCGGCUAACUUCGUGCCAGCAGCCGCGGUAAUACGAAGGGUGCAAGCGUUAAUCGGAAUUACUGGGCGUAAAGCGCGCGUAGGUGGUUCAGCAAGUUGGAUGUGAAAUCCCCGGGCUCAACCUGGGAACUGCAUCCAAAACUACUGAGCUAGAGUACGGUAGAGGGUGGUGGAAUUUCCUGUGUAGCGGUGAAAUGCGUAGAUAUAGGAAGGAACACAAGUGGCGAAGGCGACCACCUGGGCUGAUACUG
rnacentral:rRNA from 1 species